rnacentral:tRNA from 1 species
AUUUUGAUAAAGCAGUUGGUGGAGCAUGAGACUCUUAAUUUCAAGGUCAUGGGUUUGAACCCCAUGUUGGGCAAAAGA